rnacentral:ncRNA from 1 species
GAGAGCCGUGAUGCGGUGAAAGCCGCACGUCCGGUUCGGAGGGAGGACGAUGGAAAAGGAGCCGCAAACGCCACCUCGUCAGCGUCCUACCCUAC